ensembl:misc_RNA Metazoa_SRP Metazoan signal recognition particle RNA
GCUGGGCGUGGUGGUGCGUGCCUGUAAUCCCAACUACUGGGGAGGCUGAGGCAUGAGAAUCGCUUGAACCUGGGAGGCAGAGGUUCCAGUGAGCUGAGGUUGCACCACUGCACUCCAGCCCAGGCAACAGAGUGAGACCAUGUCUCAA